GACGAACCGAGCGAACGUUGUUCGGAAUCACUGGGCUUAAAGGGCGCGUAGGCGGGCGGUUAAGUCUGCGGUGAAAUCCUCCAGCUCAACUGGAGAACUGCCGUGGAUACUGGCUGUCUCGAGGAAGGUAGGGGCGUGUGGAACUAUCGGUGGAGCGGUGAAAUGCGUUGAUAUCGAUAGGAACUCCGGUGGCGAAGGCGACACGCUGGACCUUUCUGACGCUGAGGCGCGAAAGCCAGGGGAGCAAAGCGGG
rnacentral:rRNA from 1 species